GAUGAACGCUAGCUACAGGCUUAACACAUGCAAGUCGAGGGGAAACGACAUCGCAAGCUUGCUUUUGAUGGGCGUCGACCGGCGCACGGGUGAGUAACGCGUAUCCAACCUGCCCACCACUUGGGGAUAACCUUGCGAAAGUAAGACUAAUACCCAAUGAUAUCCCACGAAGACAUCUGAAUGGGAUUAAAGAUUUAUCGGUGAUGGAUGGGGAUGCGUCUGAUUAGCUUGUUGGCGGGGUAACGGCCCACCAAGGCAACGAUCAGUAGGGGUUCUGAGAGGAAGGUCCCCCACAUUGGAACUGAGACACGGUCCAAACUCCUACGGGAGGCAGCAGUGAGGAAUAUUGAUCAAUGGGCGAGAGCCUGAACCAGCCAAGUAGCGUGCAGGAAGACGGCCCUAUGGGUUGUAAACUGCUUUUAUAAGGGAAUAAAGUGGGUCACGUGUGACUUUUUGCAUGUACCUUAUGAAUAAGGACCGGCUAAUUCCGUG
rnacentral:rRNA from 1 species